AAAUUCUGGGCUUCCCUUCUGUUUCCAGCUCCUGUCAUCUCAGUGAAAGGAGUGGGUGGAGGUGGACCAGGGACACAGCAGUGGACAUGUGGAGUGCAUCUUCUCUUCUUUGGCCUCAGUGCGACUCAUCCUGCAGCUCUGCAUACUACAGCUCCUGUUGCCAUGACUCCCCACCAUGAUGGACUGCACCCUUGAAGAUAUUAGAAGACCUUCAUCUUCUUUGGGGCAUAAAGCAACAAGUGCAACUUUGUUUCUGAUUCAUCUCCCCACAUCAGCAAGAGAACAAUCAUCAGUAUUUACUAUGUACCAGGCUCUAAUCUGGUGCCCUGUGCAGACACACAGAAUCUCUUGAAAGACCAGCGGGAUGAGCAGGCAUCAACAGAGAAUAUACCUGAGGACUGGGGGAGAAGCAGACAUCAACACACAGCAUGAUGGAGGCCUGGAGAAGACCCUCACUGGCGCACCACUGCUAGCCUUCAAAGCUGGUGGGAAGGCUCCUUGCUAGAACUUAACACCCAAAAUGUGCUCAGUGCCAGACUAGGACAGGGCUCCCCCCCCACCUUCAUUUCCUCUGUCCCCCUUUUUAAUCUUUCCUUCUUCGUUCCUCACCCUUUCCUCGUUCCUUCCUGUUACACCUUUCUCUUUCUCUCUCCUCUCAUCCUCUCUCUCCCUCCUUCUCACAUUUCUCCUUCAUCCUUUCCCUUCCCCUCCCUCCCAGCUUUUUCCUCAGCCCGCCUCUCUGUCUGUCCUUAUUUUUAGAGAGGAUAUGAGCCCCAUAGAUCACUUUGAGCUCUUUCAUGUGAGAUCUUUUUCCAGCACAGGCCCAGACCCUGCUCCUUGUUUUUGUCUGGCUAGGGUCAGAGACAAGCGAGACACUGGCAAUCCCAGGAAGGCAUAGACACUCCCUGCUCUUUGAGGGCCUCCAGACAGGAGGGUCUCCAGCCCCCCAGGUUCUCUGUGCUAACACUGAAAUCUCUGAAGUGAGGCCAUGCUUGUCUUGUCUGUCAUGUUGAUGUGGGGACAUGCUGUGAGAGCCUGAAGAUGUCUCCUUCUCUCUCCGCUCCCUGGGCUCUCACUGGCAUGGGUGCUCUUCUUAGGGUGAGGGGAGUGAGCCCAGGUGACAGGCUGUCUGGAUCAUGUCCCCAUUUCAAAGACUUCACCCUGUUUCUGGGUAGAGCCGUCUGCCUACCUGGGUCUCCUCUGGAGAUAACUCUGGUGUAUGGGAACAAUCUGGAAGAAGCACAGGGCUCCCUUGCUCCUGGGUUUUGUUAGACUUGUUCCUCUGCCAGCACAUGUUGGGGAUCCUUCAUCCUAUCCACAGUCCUCUGGGCCCCUCAACCCAGUGUGAAUAGCUUGCAGUGCUGCCCUGGGCUCAGGCUGAAGAUGGACACAUGUAUCCCCCUCCCCCUGGACCUUCGAUUUUAUUGUUAGAUAAUCAUAGAUUCUUGUGAGAGACAGAUCCCUGGGGUAGGACACUGGUGACCCUAGAUGUUGAUACUGUGAUUGCCAAGGUUCUAAUGAAGCCAGAUUUGACCACCUAGAGCCUCAGCUUCCCUAUGUGUAAUGUGGAACACCAUCAUGAAUGGACUGGAUGAGUUGGUGGAGGGAUUCCUGGGUCCUCUUCAUGAUGGGCAGAUGAAACAUCAUUGUGUCUAUCAAGCUGGUGGAGGGGGUGAGAUGGGGGCUAUAUUGGGCGCUGGACCAAGUGGUCACAGAGGCCUGGACAUAGAUGUCUCCAGGGAUUGGAGUUCCCCACCUAUCCUAUUUAGAAACAAGCUUGGCUUCCCAGGAGGCAGCUCUAGUUUGCUCCCAAAGGUUCUUUCAUGGAACCACUUGCUGUACAAUGAACUGACCUUCUGUAGAGGUGACUGUGGGUCCCAAGGCCUCAGAGCUCCAUAGAGCAUCCACAAAGCAAUGGAGUUGGCAUCACCAUCUGUCCUAGUUUGCUUUCUAUUGCUGUGGUAAACACCAUGACCAUGGAGGAAAAGAUUGAAUUUCAGCUUAAAGCUUAUGGUCCACCACAAAGGAAAGUUAGGGCAAGAACUCAAGGCAGGAACUGGAAAGCAAGAACAAAGACAGAGGCCAUGGCUGAGUAUGCUACUGCUCACUGGUUUGAUCCUCUUGGCUCUCUUAGUUGGCUUUCCUAUCCAAAACUAGGGGUAGCAUCCCAACAGUGGGCUGGGUCCUCUCAGAGUCAUCAUUAAUCAAUAAAAUAGCCUACAAAC
rnacentral:lncRNA from 1 species